AAACCAGCACCUCAAGUGGUCAGGAGGAUUAUUGGGCCUAAAGCAUCCGUAGCCUGCUGCAUAAGUUUUCGGUUAAAUCCAUACGCUCAACGUAUGGGCUGCCGGGAAUACUGUGCAGCUAGGGAGUGGGAGAGGUAGACGGUACUCGGUAGGAAGGGGUAAAAUCCUUUGAUCUAUUGAUGACCACCUGUGGCGAAGGCGGUCUACCAGAACACGUCCGACGGUGAGGGAUGAAAGCUGGGGGAGCAAACCGGAUUAGAAACCCCAGUAGUCC
rnacentral:rRNA from 1 species